rnacentral:rRNA from 1 species
CCUACGGUGGGCUGCAGUGAGGAAUAUUGGUCAAUGGGAGGAAUCCUGAACCAGCCAUGUCGCGUGCAGGACGACGGCUCUACGAGUUGUAAACUGCUUUUGUACCGGGGUAAAAUGCUCUACGAGUAGGGUUUUGAAAGUACGGUACGAAUAAGGAUCGGCUAACUCCGUGCCAGCAGCCGCGGUAAUACGGAGGAUCCGAGCGUUAUCCGGAUUCAUUGGGUUUAAAGGGUGCGUAGGCGGACUAUUAAGUCAGCGGUAAAAGCCCGGGGCUCAACCCCGGCGAGCCGUUGAAACUGGCUGUCUUGAGAUGUCGAGAGGUAUGCGGAAUGCGCAGUGUAGCGGUGAAAUGCUUAGAUAUUGCGCAGAACUCCGAUUGCGAAGGCAGCAUACCGGCGGCGAUCUGACGCUGAGGCACGAAAGCGUGGGUAUCGAACAGGAUUAGAUACCCGAGUAGUC